CACGCCACUAUACCUGUCUGUCAGAGUGACUGAGUAUGAUCCAGUAGAGGCUCAGAGUCAACCCAACUCUAGGAAACAGGUCUGCCCCAAACCAAUGGACAACUCUGUGCCGUAAAGAUUGGAACAAUU